UGCAAGUCGAGCGGGGUGAUGGUGCUUGCACUAUCACCUAGCGGCGGACGGGUGAGUAAUGCUUAGGAAUCUGCCUAUUAGUGGGGGACAACAUUUCGAAAGGAAUGCUAAUACCGCAUACGUCCUACGGGAGAAAGCAGGGGAUCUUCGGACCUUGCGCUAAUAGAUGAGCCUAAGUCGGAUUAGCUAGUUGGUGGGGUAAAGGCCUACCAAGGCGACGAUCUGUAGCGGGUCUGAGAGGAUGAUCCGCCACACUGGGACUGAGACACGGCCCAGACUCCUACGGGAGGCAGCAGUGGGGAAUAUUGGACAAUGGGCGCAAGCCUGAUCCAGCCAUGCCGCGUGUGUGAAGAAGGCCUUAUGGUUGUAAAGCACUUUAAGCGAGGAGGAGGCUACUUUAGAUAAUACCUAGAGAUAGUGGACGUUACUCGCAGAAUAAGCACCGGCUAACUCUGUGCCAGCAGCCGCGGUAAUACAGAGGGUGCAAGCGUUAAUCGGAUUUACUGGGCGUAAAGCGCGCGUAGGCGGCUAAUUAAGUCAAAUGUGAAAUCCCCGAGCUUAACUUGGGAAUUGCAUUCGAUACUGGUUAGCUAGAGUGUGGGAGAGGAUGGUAGAAUUCCAGGUGUAGCGGUGAAAUGCGUAGAGAUCUGGAGGAAUACCGAUGGCGAAGGCAGCCAUCUGGCCUAACACUGACGCURADNGURCG
rnacentral:rRNA from 1 species